rnacentral:misc_RNA from 1 species
CUGUGCAUGACAGUCCCCGUGCACAGCACUCACAUGUCUGCGUCCUGAAACAGGUUUCAGGACGACGCUGUUGUUGUCUGCGUGACCCGCUGGCUGCAUCCUCCAGUUCCAGGGAUGCCAUGAAUGCUGUCUGAAGGGGUUGCCGGCUUGUGCUGCAACAGGUGGGGGCGCUGGUAUGCGUCUGUGGUGGCAGUGGGCAUUCCACCCUCUGCUGCACCCGCACGCCUCUCAUUAGGAGUGGGUGUGUGUCAAGCAGAAAGGGACCCGCGGAUAGGCAUGCGCGUGCGCACAGAGAGCUCGCAGCUUGUCGUGCUGAGGGAGACACAGAGGGGCAUCCAUAGACACCCGACGGGGAAGCCCCUGCAGCUCGGGUGGGACGUGCGUAAGCAGGUCAGCUUGCGCAGCGGAGAGCUGCUGCUGGUCGCUGUGCCGCGCACCGGCGAGUGCGUGCCUUGUUUCGGGGGACGCUCACCCCGCUGCCUGGCGUGCUCGAGCGUCCAGCACGCCACCUUUCAGAGGACGAAUCUUAGUUUGGCCUGCAUGACAUCCUUGCCCGCGGAGGAUGUGGGGAGUGUGGCGUGAUGAACACAGAUGGCGUGGUGCCGUGCCGGCGUACGGUUGUGCUGCAAGCCCAGGGGCCCACCACCAUGAUGGGGCGAAGAGGGCCCAGGAGGGAUGGUUCGGCGGCUCCGCAUGCACGCCUGGCCAUCUGCGAUUUGUUCUUGUGGGCGGGGCGAUGGCGUGGGAGAUCCAUGAUGCGGCGAGUGUGCUGCGGGCCGCGGUUGGGCCUCUGAGGCGCCGUGAUGUGCACAGCCGAGGAUGCCGGCGUAGGGCCGACAAACACCGCGGCUGUCUCUGUGUACCUUGCCGGCGCUGCUGGAGCCUGUCUCGCAGAACGGUCGCGUAGUCGUCGUGAGGCUAUUCGCUGGAGGAGCUUUCGCGACGGGUGGUGGUCGGAGUGACAGGGCGGGCGGAGUGAGAGUGCAGCAGGACUGCAUUCAUCUCUCGAGGCUGGAUGUAUAAUGAGCAUGACCGAGAGAGGGCGGCACGCAGGGCAGCGUCGCAAGAGCUGCUUCCAAUCGCGUCAGCUCUGGCGUGCAGAGCGCUGCGUAGGCGGCGUCACCAGAGGGGCCCGCCUUCGUGGGUGUGUUGUUGGCCGCCGUCGCGUAUCUUGCCGUGGCCUUGCGGGACACCUCGGUGUGCGUCUGCGUGACGGCGUCGGUGGUGUGCCGUGCGGUGGUGUGGUUAUGGCUUGCACACGUCAGGUGCUCAUCAUUGGGCCAAUCGUGUGGGAUGGCCCCCUCCCUGGCCGGCUGGGUCUUCAUCUCGUGUCGGACACCGGGCCGCGCGAGCCGGCCCCCGCCCCGAUGGCGUGUGGGCUGCGUGCGAUAUUGCCUGGUGUGUGGAGAUCCUCCUAUGCCGCGAGGUGACUGUUAGGUGUGCAGCCCGAGGUGGUGUGUAUGCGCCCCGCAGGGACGUGACAGCACAGCCGCAGUGCCGCUGCUGCGCCGUUGUCGUUGAGAAGAGGGGGAGCGCGUACAGUUGUGCCCGUGUCGUCCUCUGUGAGCACGGGGACGCCAGCGGCGUGCCUCCUCUCUCUUGCUGCGCCGGGGUGCUGGAAGGCUGGUACGCCUGGUGCCCUGUGGGGCCUGUAGGGCCUGUGGGAGUGAACUGCGCGUGCUGCACAAUGCAGACCCCUGUAUCGACGCUUCGUGACGGGGGCGGGCCAGCCAACAGUGGUGCGCUUCGUUGCGCGCACUGGCAGUUGCGCUGCGUCUGGCGCUGGCGGGGCCACGGGCUGCUUCCUGCAUCAGCGCCUCGCUGCCAAAUCAGAAAGCAGGAGUUGGGGGCCGUGUACUCGUUGCAUCGCCGGCACGACUCGCCGUGAGCUGGUACGAGCUUCAUGGUUGAUCGCAGUUCUCGUCAACGAGCCCGCCCAGCGCUGUCUAGCGAUACGAAGAGUGGGUACUAGACCGUGAGGUAGCACAGUGCGGUGGCCGGGCAUCACCAGGGCAAAAGCGAAGUGGUGCUGAAACAACGUGAAGCGUAUUUUCCUUCCGUAAAGAACAGAUUACUAUCGCGACGACUGCAAGCGUUGCCGGGUGGAGUCGUGCAAUGGAGGUUUUCAAGCUUUGGGGAUAGUGUAUAGCAUGAGCUGCCAGCCCUCUGUAG